UACAGAGGGGGCAAGCGUUGUUCGGAAUUACUGGGCGUAAAGGGCGCGUAGGCGGCCUGCUAAGUCGAACGUGAAAUCCCCGGGCUCAACCCGGGAACUGCGUCCGAUACUGGCAGGCUUGAAUCCGGGAGAGGGAUGCGGAAUUCCAGGUGUAGCGGUGAAAUGCGUAGAGAUCGGGAAGAACACCAGUGGCGAAAGCGCUCUGCUGGACUGCAACUGACACUGAGGGACGAAAGCUAGGGGAGCAAAUGGG
rnacentral:rRNA from 1 species